CCAAUAGCGUAUAUUAAAGUUGUUGCAGUUAAAAAGCUCGUAGUUGAAUUUCGAGAUCAAAUUGUUGGUCGUGCCUUGGUACGUACUGGCAUUAUUGGUUUCUCCCUUCUGACGAACCAUGAUGUCAUUAAUUUGGUGUCUUGGGGAAUCAGGACUGUUACUUUGAAAAAAUUAGAGUGUUUAAAGCAGGCUCACGCUUGAAUACAUUAGCAUGGAAUAAUGAAAUAGGACGUUUGAUUCUAUUUUGUUGGUUUCUAGGAUCGACGUAAUGAUUAAUAGGGAUAGUUGGGGGCAUUAGUAUUCAAUUGUCAGAGGUGAAAUUCUUGGAUUUAUUGAAGACUAACUACUGCGAAAGCAUUUGCCAAGGAUGUUUUCAUUAAUCAAGAACGAAAGUUAGGGGAUCGAAGACGAUCAGAUACCGUCGUAGUCUUAACCAUAAACUAUGCCGACUAGGGAUCGGAUGAUGUUAAUUUUUUAAUGACUCAUUCGGCGCCUUACG
rnacentral:rRNA from 1 species